GCAAGGGGUAGAACAUGGCUUAAUAAUCUGUGUAAAAAAUACAGUUUCACCAUAUUUUCAAGGUAUGUCACAUUGUCAGGAGAGACUUGAGCUAAAAAGGGAAAAGAAAUUUUAUUCUUUAUCCUGAAUAACAGUGUGAAUAAAAACACUGCAUUUGAAUGUUUUAACUAAAUGCUGAGUAAAUUAAGUUCUUAACAGAUGGGUUAACCAGUAGUUGGCUAGAAAGAUAGCUCUAUAAAAUUAAGUUAUGGGAUCAAAUUAUUUUUUAAUAUUCUACCUAUCCUUAACUGUCAGUGAGGCAUAAAAUCUUUAUUGUGAUAAAGGCCUGUCCAUAUUUUACUGCUUCAUUUGAAAACACAGAUUUUUUUAAAAAAAACUUUCUUAAAAUACCAUAAUCAUACAGUAGGAAUUCAUAUUUUUGUUAGCAGAAAAUAGUGCAACCUAUGGAUUAUUCAAGACAAAAGUAGAAAUUUCUCCUCAUGCUACCCAGACGAGCUUUCCCUUGGCAAAAAAACAGGUGCUCAUCACCUCAACAGAGCAUCAGGAAUGAGACCUCCUGUCUUCAGCUGAUUGCCAAACAAAACACCCACCAUUAUAGGUGGCAAAGUUCAGUGACUGAAAAAAAAAAAAAAAGAAAAUUGGCCUGUAGUUUAAAGAUCCAGCCCUUCAAAUGCCAUUUCUGGAGGAGGAGCUCCCAAAGGAGGGUCUUCCCAAGAUGUGACAGUAGUACUCUGGCUCUUGACUGUUUUGCUGCUUCAUGUAUGAAACGUUUCACUUCAUUGCAAUACCAAGGCUGCAAUCCUUCUUUCAAACUCCCACUCUGAGAUGCCACUUCUGAAAAAAACCUUCAGAUCUGUUGUGAGCUCCUUCCCAUUUCCACUGUGAUCACCUCCGGAUAUUUCAGAGACAAACUUUGACUCCACCAAGCUUAGUACUAAACCUGGAUGCCAGCCAGCGAGGAACAACAAUAUCUUGACAGGGGACUUCAUGCAUCCCACACGGGUCAUCUACAUUGUCUGGGAUCCAUGUGCAUCAGAGAUUACAACAGUAGAAAACAAAAGAAUUACGCAACACAAAGGUCUUGAUGAGAGUAAACAAGAGAAACGUGACUUACUGCUGAAGCACUUUCCUGCCUGUAGUUGAAGAAGAAGGAUAAGAGGAGGUCCACCCUUCAAAUCUUCCCAGACAGUAACAUACAAAUGCAACAAAUAAGCAAUGGGAGUCUCAUGUACUGUUGUCCAGUGUUUCUGUUUAGUCAGUACUUUCCUUAGAGCAAAGAUAAAGGGCUAAAUUGUAUGCAGUCUCAUACAAAAAUGUGCACUUUUUUUAAGCUGAUAACAUUGAUAAAGUCUGAGGUAAAUUAAAAACAUGUGGCUGAAGUCAAACACGAUUAAUUCCAAAGGAAAAUCAACCAUACCCAUGAGAGAGUUUCACUGAGAGCAAGACUGUGGGAUUGGUAAAAUCCUGGUCCAUUGUGACAGAGGUUCUUUGACCUCACAUUAAAUGGCAUAGCAAUGUGGCUAGCCAAAGUAGUUCAGAGCCCUUGGCACAACUGCCCCUCUAAGCACCUGCUCUGUGAAUGAUUCAGCUUGCCAAGGCUCAGCAGGUUGCCCAGACACACCAACGUGUGCCCAAGGCACCAUUGCCAUCACUUCUAACCCUGCCUUGGACUCUGCAUGUGUUGGCAGUGGACCAUCCCUGCUUGGAAGGAAGGGGAUUGCAAAACUGGGAGUAUUAAGCUGGAGAUUAGAUUCAUUGUUUUCUCCGGCAACUCACUGGCAACAGCACAGUGCUUCAGUAGGCACAAGUACAUCUACUCCAUGUGGAGAGACCAAAUAGAAACUGGCUGAGGGUGGGUUCAAUAUAUUAAAAAAUUGGUGGGGAGCUUACCAUCAAGAAGCGCUUGGAAAGAUGCUGUCUAGUGACCUAAGGUGUUGGGAAGCCUCAAGGCACAUCAAAUACUGCAUUUUUCUUGCCUGUCCUUUUGCAUGUAUGGACUAUUUGGUAGAGUUAGCCUUCAGUCUCUCGGCCCGUUUGGGGGAAAGUUUAUGCCUGUGUAUGAACUGUGUUUUGAGAUGUACCUGAUGGCAGUGCAAGCUGAAAGUAAUCAGAGAUAGCUCAAGAAUAAGAUUUAAGCAGAAUUUAGGUAUGUAUGACAAAGACAUAUUAUUCUGCAUAGAUUUUUUGAGAUCCUGCCUAAUCCUGGAGCUACCUAGACUCCUUUGGUAAAUCCACAGACUUUUAUGGUAGUCCACAACACACAGAGGUAUCUCUGCCUUCACAGUACUAAGUCAAUCAACGCACUUCUCUCAGCUAAACCAGAUCAGUAUAAAAAUAACAGAUGCUUCUAAACCUAUUCUGACAUCACGAUCCAAUAAGCAUUCUCAGAGCACACCUAGCAUCCCCAGUCAGCACCAGGACCCACACCAAGUGUACAGCUUCCCCUUAGUACAAAAAUUAAUGAUUGUAAUGUUCAGUCAGAAUGUAGAAAAGAGAUUCAGAUGAUUCCUUUACUGGACCAAUGCAAACCCACAAUCAUGUCCCCCAGAGAAUGCUAUAACCACUAGAAUACAGAUUAUUUAAAAUCAGAGUAGUCUCAAAUCAAUGCUGUUGAAGCAGUGCCAUUGUGCACCAUAGUUAAUUGUAGCAGAUCAAAAGUGGUUAUUCCACUUUAUUUGGCACUUUUAAGGCUGCAUUUGCACUUUCCAGCUGGAGGCAACCCUCUGCAAGAAAGAUUUUGAAAGACUGGAGCAAGUUCAGAGGAUAGCUGGCAAGAUGAGUAUGUGGCAUAUGAGGAGAAGCCAAAAGAACCGGGUUUACCCAGCCUUAAGAGGAGAAGGUGAAGGGGAAAUCUGACUGCUCUCUGCAGCUGCCAAAUAUAAAGAUGCAGAGAUAACAGGGCCAUGCUCUUGCCAGAGGAAGAAUACAGAAGGUCUCAUGCACUGAUGGCAUGAGAAAUGAUGGUCACACGUCAGGAAAGAGGAAAUUCUCCUUAGACAUAGAGAGGGAAAAUGUACCAUGGAGCAGGCUGCCCAGAAAGGCUGUGGAAUCACUGCCUUUGGAGAUACUACAAAGCUUGCUGGCCAAGUGUUCCAGCAACCUGACCUAACUGAGCCUGCUUUGUGAAGGGGAUGGGAGAGGAUGAGCUGAGGAAUCUCUUGCUUUGCAUGAUGAGAUCUGAAUUAUGGUCUCUAGAACCAAAUGUCAAUUUAUAUGUGUUUAUGUACACACAGGCACAUAGGGAGAUAUUGAAGCUCUGUUAAAAACAAUAGUGCCAAACAAGCCAUUCCUUUUUAAAAUGGCAUGUGUUCCUGUCUCCCAGACAGAGCUUGAAUUCUGCAGACUGCAAACUGCAGAUGAAGAGGAGCAUCGCUUGAAAUGGUAAAUGAGACAAAAGUAAGAGGGAUUUCAUACAUAUUCCCAGCCUUCCAACUGGUUAGACUUAGGCAGAGUUACACCUGUUUUCUAAUCCAGGUAGUUUCCUCCCUUUAUUCCAAGAUGACUACUUUUCUCCAUUCUUUGGUAUAAGAAGCCUGUGUACCUCCUUCCCACUCAAGUCUUUGGGUGCCUAAUUGAACUGUUCCCUAUUACUUCUUAGAUUUCCUGCAAACUUACCAAUGGUCUUGAAAAGUUUCUGCCUUCUGUGAACUAAAUUCAUAAGCUUUCACCUGUUAUGUGGUUGAUUUCAAAUACACUUUUACAAAAAGGUGUUUUAACCUCUGGAUCUUCAAGUUAGUAGAUGCUAUAGUACUUAAAAUAUUGAAGUGGACACUGCCUCAUGCAGAGAUAAUUUGAUCUUUAUACACAUCUGCCUUACUUGAUAACUUCUCUUGCAGUCCACCCAUAAGUGUGUGUUAUCUGUUAUCUCCUGCUUUACAAUGUGUUUUCCUUGAGAAACUAUGAAAGGGAAAACUAAUUUCUA